rnacentral:rRNA from 1 species
CUGGCGGCGUGCCUAAUACAUGCAAGUCGAGCGGAGUUGAUUUGAAAGCUUGCUUUCAAAUCAACUUAGCGGCGGACGGGUGAGUAACACGUAGGCAACCUGCCCCACAGACUGGGAUAACUACCGGAAACGGUAGCUAAUACCGGAUAAUUCCUUUUGGCUCCUGCCAAGAGGAUGAAAGACGGAGCAAUCUGUCACUGCGGGAUGGGCCUGCGGCGCAUUAGCUAGUUGGUGAGGUAACGGCUCACCAAGGCGACGAUGCGUAGCCGACCUGAGAGGGUGAACGGCCACACUGGGACUGAGACACGGCCCAGACUCCUACGGGAGGCAGCAGUAGGGAAUCUUCCGCAAUGGGCGAAAGCCUGACGGAGCAACGCCGCGUGAGUGAUGAAGGUUUUCGGAUCGUAAAGCUCUGUUGCCAGGGAAGAACGUCCGGUAGAGUAACUGCUACCGGAGUGACGGUACCUGAGAAGAAAGCCCCGGCUAACUACGUGCCAGCAGCCGCGGUAAUACGUAGGGGGCAAGCGUUGUCCGGAAUUAUUGGGCGUAAAGCGCGCGCAGGCGGCUAUUUAAGUCUGGUGUUUAAACCAUGGGCUCAACCUGUGGUCGCACUGGAAACUGGGGUGGCUUGAGUACAGAAGAGGAAAGUGGAAUUCCACGUGUAGCGGGUGAAAUGCGUAGAGAUGUGGAGGAACACCAGUGGCGAAGGCGACUUUCCUGGGCUGUAACUGACGCUGGAGGCGCGGAAAGCGUGGGGAGCAAA